UCUUGGUGCCUCGCAUUGAUAACUUAUUCACCUGGUCAGGGCCGGAAGGAAGCAGCCAGAGUAAGCCAAUCAAGUGCCGAGGGUUCGCUGGGAAGU
rfam:Psychromonas sp. CNPT3, complete genome.